rnacentral:rRNA from 1 species
GUGAGGAAUAUUGGUCAAUGGACGAGAGUCUGAACCAGCCAAGUCGCGUGAAGGAAGACGGUUCUAUGAAUUGUAAACUUCUUUUGUGCAGGAAUAAAGUGGGUUACGUGUAACCUUUUGUAUGUACUGUACGAAUAAGGAUCGGCUAACUCCGUGCCAGCAGCCGCGGUAAUACGGAGGAUCCGAGCGUUAUCCGGAUUUAUUGGGUUUAAAGGUUGCGUAGGUGGAUUGAUAAGGAAGCGGUGAAAGUUUGCAGCUUAACUGUAAAAUUGCCGUUGAAACUGUCGGUCUUGAGUGCAAAUGAGGUAGGCGGAAUGUGUUGUGUAGCGGUGAAAUGCUUAGAUAUAACACAGAACUCCGAUUGCGAAGGCAGCUUACUGGGAUGCAACUGACACUGAUGCACGAAAGCGUGGGUAUCAAACAGGAUUAGAAACCCUGGUAGUCC